AGCAGCCCAGAGCCUGAAUCAGUGUGUGUGUUAGUGGAAGCGUCUGGAAAGGCGCGCGAUACAGGGUGACAGCCCCGUACACAAAAAUGCACAUGCUGUGAGCUCGAUGAGUAGGGCGGGACACGUGGUAUCCUGUCUGAAUAUGGGGGGACCAUCCUCCAAGGCUAAAUACUCCUGACUGACCGAUAGUGAACCAGUACCGCGAGGGAAAGGCGAAAAGAACCCCGGCGAGGGGAGUGAAAAAGAACCUGAAACCGUGUACGUACAAGCAGUGGGAGCACGCUUAGGCGUGUGACUGCGUACCUUUUGUAUAAUGGGUCAGCGACUUAUAUUCUGUAGCAAGGUUAACCGAAUAGGGGAGCCGAAGGGAAACCGAGUCUUAACUGGGCGUUAAGUUGCAGGGUAUAGACCCGAAACCCGGUGAUCUAGCCAUGGGCAGGUUGAAGGUUGGGUAACACUAACUGGAGGACCGAACCGACUAAUGUCGAAAAAUUAGCGGAUGACUUGUGGCUGGGGGUGAAGGGCCAAUCAAACCGGGAGAUAGCUGGUUCUCCCCGAAAGCUAUUUAGGUAGCGCCUCGUGAAUUCAUCUCCGGGGGUAGAGCACUGUUUCGGCAAGGGGGUCAUCCCGACUUACCAACCCGAUGCAAACUGCGAAUACCGGAGAAUGUUAUCACGGGAGACACACGGCGGGUGCUAACGUCCGUCGUGAAGAGGGAAACAACCCAGACCGCCAGCUAAGGUCCCAAAGUCAUGGUUAAGUGGGAAACGAUGUGGGAAGGCCCAGACAGCCAGGAUGUUGGCUUAGAAGCAGCCAUCAUUUAAAGAAAGCGUAAUAGCUCACUGGUCGAGUCGGCCUGCGCGGAAGAUGUAACGGGGCUAAACCAUGCACCGAAGCUGCGGCAGCGACACUAUGUGUUGUUGGGUAGGGGAGCGUUCUGUAAGCCUGUGAAGGUGUACUGUGAGGUAUGCUGGAGGUAUCAGAAGUGCGAAUGCUGACAUAAGUAACGAUAAAGCGGGUGAAAAGCCCGCUCGCCGGAAGACCAAGGGUUCCUGUCCAACGUUAAUCGGGGCAGGGUGAGUCGACCCCUAAGGCGAGGCCGAAAGGCGUAGUCGAUGGGAAACAGGUUAAUAUUCCUGUACUUGGUGUUACUGCGAAGGGGGGACGGAGAAGGCUAUGUUGGCCGGGCGACGGUUGUCCCGGUUUAAGCGUGUAGGCUGGUUUUCCAGGCAAAUCCGGAAAAUCAAGGCUGAGGCGUGAUGACGAGGCACUACGGUGCUGAAGCAACAAAUGCCCUGCUUCCAGGAAAAGCCUCUAAGCAUCAGGUAACAUCAAAUCGUACCCCAAACCGACACAGGUGGUCAGGUAGAGAAUACCAAGGCGCUUGAGAGAACUCGGGUGAAGGAACUAGGCAAAAUGGUGCCGUAACUUCGGGAGAAGGCACGCUGAUAUGUAGGUGAAGUCCCUCGCGGAUGGAGCUGAAAUCAGUCGAAGAUACCAGCUGGCUGCAACUGUUUAUUAAAAACACAGCACUGUGCAAACACGAAAGUGGACGUAUACGGUGUGACGCCUGCCCGGUGCCGGAAGGUUAAUUGAUGGGGUUAGCGCAAGCGAAGCUCUUGAUCGAAGCCCCGGUAAACGGCGGCCGUAACUAUAACGGUCCUAAGGUAGCGAAAUUCCUUGUCGGGUAAGUUCCGACCUGCACGAAUGGCGUAAUGAUGGCCAGGCUGUCUCCACCCGAGACUCAGUGAAAUUGAACUCGCUGUGAAGAUGCAGUGUACCCGCGGCAAGACGGAAAGACCCCGUGAACCUUUACUAUAGCUUGACACUGAACAUUGAGCCUUGAUGUGUAGGAUAGGUGGGAGGCUUUGAAGUGUGGACGCCAGUCUGCAUGGAGCCGACCUUGAAAUACCACCCUUUAAUGUUUGAUGUUCUAACGUUGACCCGUGAUCCGGGUUGCGGACAGUGUCUGGUGGGUAGUUUGACUGGGGCGGUCUCCUCCUAAAGAGUAACGGAGGAGCACGAAGGUUGGCUAAUCCUGGUCGGACAUCAGGAGGUUAGUGCAAUGGCAUAAGCCAGCUUGACUGCGAGCGUGACGGCGCGAGCAGGUGCGAAAGCAGGUCAUAGUGAUCCGGUGGUUCUGAAUGGAAGGGCCAUCGCUCAACGGAUAAAAGGUACUCCGGGGAUAACAGGCUGAUACCGCCCAAGAGUUCAUAUCGACGGCGGUGUUUGGCACCUCGAUGUCGGCUCAUCACAUCCUGGGGCUGAAGUAGGUCCCAAGGGUAUGGCUGUUCGCCAUUUAAAGUGGUACGCGAGCUGGGUUUAGAACGUCGUGAGACAGUUCGGUCCCUAUCUGCCGUGGGCGCUGGAGAACUGAGGGGGGCUGCUCCUAGUACGAGAGGACCGGAGUGGACGCAUCACUGGUGUUCGGGUUGUCAUGCCAAUGGCACUGCCCGGUAGCUAAAUGCGGAAGAGAUAAGUGCUGAAAGCAUCUAAGCACGAAACUUGCCCCGAGAUGAGUUCUCCCUGACUCCUUGAGAGUCCUGAAGGAACGUUGAAGACGACGACGUUGAUAGGCCGGGUGUGUAAGCGCAGCGAUGCGUUGAGCUAACCGGUACUAAUGAACCGUGAGGCUUAACCUU
rnacentral:rRNA from 1 species